rnacentral:rRNA from 1 species
GACGAACGCUGGCGGCGUGCCUAAUACAUGCAAGUCGAACGCAGUUGCGAACGGGUGAGUAACGCGUAGGUAACUGCCUCCUAGCGGGGGAUAACUAUUGGAAACGAUAGCUAAUACCGCCCACUGUGAGAUGGACCUGCGUUGUUUUAGCUAGUUGGUGAGGUAAAGGCUCACCAAGGCGACGAUACAGAGCCGACGUGAGAGGGAGAUCGGCCACACUGGGACUGAGACACGGCCCAGACUCCUACGGGAGGCAGCAGUAGGGAAGCUUAAUAAAUGGACGGAAGUCUGACCGAGCAACGCCGCGUGAGUGAGGAGGAUUUUCGGUUCGUAGAGCUCUGUUGUUAGAGAAGCGGUAACUAACGAGAAAGGGACGGCUAACUACGUGCCAGCAGCCGCGGUAAUAC